GCAUCGGUGGCUUAGUGGUAGAAUGCUCGCCUGCCACGCGGGCGGCCCGGGUUCGAUUCCGGGCCGAUGCA
rnacentral:tRNA from 1 species